rnacentral:lncRNA from 1 species
AAACUGCCCGCCACAGAGGAGCCGUGGAGCCAAAAUGGCGUCUGGAAGCUGGUUUCCGUGUAACUGACUUGAUCCGGGCAGAGAAGAGGGGAAACUGUGAGCUUUUUAGUGAAGUGAAAAAAGGGAAACGGAUGAAAAAGGAGCGUAGUGGUGGUAGAGGUUGCAGUCCUGCGGAUGAAAAAGGAGCGUAGUGGUGGUAGAGGUUGCAGUCCUGUGGAUGAAAAAGGAGCGUAGUGGUGGUAGAGGUUGCAGUCCUGUGGAUGAGUAGUCGUAGACUUCGGCUCCUCUAGUGUGUAGCUUUUUAUGUGGAAGGACGCCUGCCCGUUAGCCUUGCUUUUCCUGACACACACACACACACACACACACACACACACACACACACACACACACACACAAAGACACAUACACUCCUAAUGUAAGCAUAUACAUGGACAGACACACACACACACACACAAACACACACACACACACACACACACACACACACACACAAACUGACUCCACAUACAAAUAACAUUACGCACACACACACAAACACACAGACACAUAUACACAAUAUAAGCCCUAUAGACGAACACACACACACACAUACACACACACACACAUACACACACACAUGGACAAACACACACACACAUGGACAAACACACACACACACACACACACUCACACUCACACCACACGAACAUACACACACACACACACACACACACACACACACACGAACAUACACACACUCAGGGCUCUAAUUGCAUUGGCACAACUGCCAACGAGCAAAGCAACGAGUUGCGUCCGCCGCUCGUGAGCAAGAGCUAAUUUAAUAAUGUUGUGGAGAAAACUCCCCAAUGAUUUCAAAACAACAGGAUGCGGAGAUUGUUGUGGAGAAGAAACUUCCCAAAUCAAUCCAAAGUAACAGAUUGUGGAGAGACUGAACGUUUUAUGUCAGAGUAAUCAACAGCUACUGAGGUGGUCCAUGGAGCAUCUUAUCCAUAUCCAGUGGGUUCCGCAGAAGCCUCUAAUCUAUUAGGAAUCUGCAAUCUCUUUUAUAGACUCUUUUAUGGCUUUUCCUGUUUUCCUGAAUGUCACAGCGUCAUUCAACCAAUCAAAAUUAUAUACUCCCAAUGGGGUCUUUCUAGCCAAUCACAGUCCUCCUUUCACGUGAUUUACAGUCUUUCUAGCCAAUCUCGGUCCUCCUUUCACGUGAUUUACAGUCUUGAUAGCCAAUCUCGUUCCUCCUUUCACGUGAUUUACAGUCAUACUAAAGCUCUGUCAGUUCAGUAUAUCCACUUCCUGCUCAAAGUGUUGUUCAAAAUGUUGUUCUUUUUCGGAGGACUUUGUUAGGCAAAUGUCUCUCCUCUCAGUUCUCAGCGUGGCUAGAGUGACGGCUGCUACAAGCAAAAACAAGUAGCUCACCUUUUUAUUGGCACCUCAGUUGUCCCAGCAGCCAAGCCGGUACCUGAGGACGAAAUUACACCUUUUCCCCAAAAAAACGCUGUGACACCAAGAUGUCGUAGAGAAGGAAACCUGCCAAAUGAUUCCAAAGUAACAGGUUGUGGCCAUUUUGUUGCAGGGCAUCCAUUUUGACCAACCAGAUGUCCAUAUUCUAUCAGUAGUUUAAAAUACUACAAUAACUUGGCAAAAUUAUUUCGAUAGCUUUAGUUCAUGCACAACAAGCUUUGCCCGUUGCUCAUUGCCCUUCAAUGACAUUAGGGCCCACACACACACACACUCUCACACACACAUACACACACUCUCACACACACAUACACACACUCUCUUCCACAUACAGUAUGCCUUCUCUCCUACACCCUUUCCCUUAGAAAAGAAAAAAAAAAAACAGUGACCUUAAUUAGCUUGAGAUGCGUUCAACAGGGCACGUGCUGGCUGUCUGCUCUCUCUCACCUUCACACACUCCGCCGCUUAACUGUCAGAAAGACACCCGACCGGGUCGGCCUCAUACCCAGCUCAUGCUACCCUGGUGCAGCCUACCCAGCCCCUCUCCCAGCUGCCCGUCUGCCCUGUUGAGUGCACCUCCAGAGCCUGUUUGAAUGUAGAGAUCCUCCGCAUCGCCACCCCUCUCUCCUCCUAACCUUGUGAGUUUCCCCACCACCCUUCCGUCGCAGUCUUUCAAGAUGGACAGUUACUGUUUUAUAACAUUUUUACGAUUGAUAAUGUUGUUGUUAUUAUUAUUCUAUGUACUGUUUUAAAUUGUAAAUAAGAAUAAUUAAUAUUUAAAAUGUUCCUUUUUAUAUACAUAUAUAUAAACAAUAUAUGAAAAAAAUGAAUGAAGAAACUAAGUUUUAUGUAUAACAUUUAAAUAAAUUUUGUUAAUGUCCGUCUGUGGAUGUGGUC